rnacentral:rRNA from 1 species
UACAGAGGUCUCAAGCGUUGUUCGGAUUCAUUGGGCGUAAAGGGUGCGUAGGCGGCGCGGUAAGUCGGGUGUGAAAUCUCGGAGCUUAACUCCGAAACUGCAUUCGAUACUGCCGUGCUUGAGGACUGGAGAGGAGACUGGAAUUUACGGUGUAGCGGUGAAAUGCGUAGAGAUGGGGGAGAACACUCGUGGCGAAGGCGGCGAGCUAGACCAGUUCUGACACUGAGGCGCGACAGCGUGGGGAGCAAACAGG